UACGAAGGGGGCUAGCGUUGUUCGGAAUUACUGGGCGUAAAGCGUGCGCAGGCGGCCAUCCAAGUCAGUGGUGAAAGCCCGGAGCUCAACUCCGGAACUGCCAUUGAAACUGUUUGGCUCGAGUACGAGAGAGGUGAGUGGAAUUCCCAGUGUAGAGGUGAAAUUCGUAGAUAUUGGGAGGAACACCAGUGGCGAAGGCGACUACCUGGCCUGUUCUUGACGCUGAGGCGCGAAAGCUAGGGGAGCAAACGGG
rnacentral:rRNA from 1 species